GGGCGCAAGCCUGAUGCAGCGACGCCGCGUGAGGGAUGGAGGCCUUCGGGUUGUAAACCUCUUUUAUCGGGGAGCAAGCGAGAGUGAGUUUACCCGUUGAAUAAGCACCGGCUAACUACGUGCCAGCAGCCGCGGUAAUACGUAGGGUGCAAGCGUUAUCCGGAAUUAUUGGGCGUAAAGGGCUCGUAGGCGGUUCGUCGCGUCCGGUGUGAAAGUCCAUCGCUUAACGGUGGAUCCGCGCCGGGUACGGGCGGGCUUGAGUGCGGUAGGGGAGACUGGAAUUCCCGGUGUAACGGUGGAAUGUGUAGAUAUCGGGAAGAACGCC
rnacentral:rRNA from 1 species